AGUGAACGCUGGCGGUAGGCCUAACACAUGCAAGUCGAACGGCAGCACAGUAAGAGCUUGCUCUUACGGGUGGCGAGUGGCGGACGGGUGAGGAAUACAUCGGAAUCUACUUUUUCGUGGGGGAUAACGUAGGGAAACUUACGCUAAUACCGCAUACGACCUACGGGUGAAAGCAGGGGAUCUUCGGACCUUGCGCGAUUGAAUGAGCCGAUGUCGGAUUAGCUAGUUGGCGGGGUAAAGGCCAACCAAGGCGACGAUCCGUAGCUGGUCUGAGAGGAUCAUCAGCCACCCUGUAUCUGAGACUCGGCCCCGACUCCUACGGGAGGCCGCAGUGGGGACUCUUGGACAAUGGGGCCAAGCCUGAUCCAGCCAUACCGCGUGGGUGCAGAAGGCCUUCUGGUUGGAAAGCCCUUUUGUUGUGAAAGAAAAGCAGCAGGUUAAUACCCCGCUGUUCUGACGGUACCCAAAGAAUAAGCACCGGCUAACUUCGUG
rnacentral:rRNA from 1 species